CUAAUCAAGAAUUUCGUUAAUUGAAUACAAAAUUGUAGAGUAUUGAAAUCUUUAAAGAUGAUUUAAAAAUGGAUUGUUAAAAUGGGUUGCAAAAAUGUGUAAAGUUAUUAAUUGGCAUUAAUUGUGUACUUAGGUGAAAUUGACACAGAUUAAAGAUCAAUGAGUAUAAUUCACACCUCAUGGGUUUUUCUAUCGAUUUACUACUCGGUGUGUAUUUAAGGAAAUAACAUAGCAUAUUGAUAAUAAUCAUCUUAAAAUGUAAUAAAUAAAUAAUAAAAAAAAAGAGCUGAUACGGGGGAUGGGAGCGGCCACUGUAUUAGGUGAGAUGUUGGGAAGGUAGGCUACAU